GUGCCGCGCCGUGCGUGCUCAGAACUCGGAAGCAGACGCCCUAGCUUUCGACGCCUUUCCCCUCGCCGGGGCGCCCCAGCGCUGCCGCUGCCGCUGCUCUUGCUGCCGUGCCUGCGCGCCGUACUACUGGUGGUGGUGGUGGCGGCUAGGGCGAUGCUGCUGCUUCUGCGGGCUGCUGCCACGGCCACCGGCGCGAAAACUCCCAGCGGCGUCUUUGGUGAAAGGUGAGAGACGUUACAGAGGUACGCGACCCGUACUGGGUCGAAACUCCUAGCCGCGUUUAGGGUGAUGUUGUUCCACGCACUCUUUUUUUUUCUCCCUCCUUUUCUUUUGUUUUCUUUUUUCGCUGUGAGGAAGGACGAGCGUGCAUGUGAGCCCCUGCCGCGCGCGUACUGCUCCGAGUUGUGCCGGUACAUUCCGUGCCACUCUAUUUUUUUUUAAUCCGGUGUCGCCUGUAUUCUAUU